GAGUUUGAUCGUGGCUCAGAUUGAACGCUGGCGGCAUGCCUUACACAUGCAAGUCGAACGGCAGCAUGAUCUAGCUUGCUAGAUUGAUGGCGAGUGGCGAACGGGUGAGUAAUACAUCGGAACGUGCCCUGUAGUGGGGGAUAACUAGUCGAAAGAUUAGCUAAUACCGCAUACGACCUGAGGGUGAAAGUGGGGGACCGCAAGGCCUCAUGCUAUGGGAGCGGCCGAUGUCUGAUAGCCAGUUGGUGGGGUAAAGGGCCCACCAAGGCGACGAUCAGUAGCUGGUCUGAGAGGACGAUCAGCCACACUGGGACUGAGACACGGCCCAGACUCCUACGGGAGGCAGCAGUGGGGAAUUUUGGACAAUGGGCGAAAGCCUGAUCCAGCAAUGCCGCGUGUGUGAAGAAGGCCU
rnacentral:rRNA from 1 species